rnacentral:lncRNA from 1 species
GGCUGGUUAGACAUAUUGAUGUACUAACCUAAAUUUAAUUAGUUGGAUGUCAAGAUCUACUAAUUUAGAAGAGACUUAAACAUAAAUCUCCUCAUUAAAUAUUAAAUCUAGAGGUCUUCUAUCAUUGUAGAGAUGCGGGUGCCUUCCUGGUAUUGAUCGUUCUCGAUUGGUUACAGUGGUUCGGUUGCAUCAGAAAGUUACAACCACUCUAUUGAUAUUUGAUGUCCUAAGGUUGAGAUGGGGUU